rnacentral:rRNA from 1 species
CAGUAGCCGCGGGAAUACGAAGGGUGCAAGCGUUACUCGAAAUUACUGGGCGUAAAGCGUGCGUAGGUGGUGGUUUAAGUCCGUUGUGAAAGCCCUGGGCUCAACCUGGGAAUUGCAGUGGAUACUGGGUCACUAGAGUGUGGUAGAGGAUAGUGGAAUUUCCGGUGUAGCAGUGAAAUGCGUAGAGAUCGGAAGGAACAUCUGUGGCGAAGGCGACUAUCUGGGCCAACACUGACACUGAGGCACGAAAGCGUGGGGAGCAAACAGGAUUAGAUACCCCAGUAGUCCCUGUCUCUUAUAC